rnacentral:rRNA from 1 species
UACGGGGGGGGCAAGCGUUGUUCGGAAUUACUGGGCGUAAAGGGCGCGUAGGUGGCCAACUAAGUCAGACGUGAAAUCCCUCGGCUUAACCGGGGAACUGCGUCUGAUACUGGAUGGCUUGAGUUUGGGAGAGGGACGCGGAAUUCCAGGUGUAGCGGUGAAAUGCGUAGAUAUUCGCAAGAACACCAGUGGCGAAGGCGGCUGACUGGACCAUUACUGACGCUGAGGCGCGAAAGCGUGGGGAGCAAACAGG